rnacentral:rRNA from 1 species
AGCGAACGCUGGCGGUAGGCCUAACACAUGCAAGUCGAACGGCAGCACAGUAAGAGCUUGCUCUUACGGGUGGCGAGUGGCGGACGGGUGAGGAAUACAUCCGAAUCUACUUUUUCGUGGGGGUUCACGUAGGGAAACUUACGCUAAUACCGCAUACGAUCUACGGGUGAAAGCAGGGGAUCUUCGGACCUUGCGCGAUUGAAUGAGCCGAUGUCGGAUUAGCUAGUUGGCGGGGUAAAGGCCCACCAAGGCGACGAUCCGUAGCUGGUCUGAGAGGAUGAUCAGCCACACUGGAACUGAGACACGGUCCAGACUCCUGCGGGAGGCAGCAGUGGGGAAUAUUGGACAAUGGGCGCAAGCCUGAUCCAGCCAUACCGCGUGGGUGAAGAAGGCGUUCGGGUUGUAAAGCCCUUUUGUUGGGAAAGAAAAGCAGCAGGUUAAUACCCCGCUGUUCUGACGGUACCCAAAGAAUAAGCACCGGCUAACUUCGUG